UACGUAGGGUGCAGGCGUUAAUCGGAAUUACUGGGCGUAAAGCGUGCGCAGGCGGUCUUUUAAGUCAGAUGUGAAAUCCCCGGGCUUAACCUGGGAACUGCAUUUGUGACUGCAUCGCUGGAGUGCGGCAGAGGGGGAUGGAAUUCCGCGUGUAGCAGUGAAAUGCGUAGAUAUGCGGAGGAACACCGAUGGCGAAGGCAAUCCCCUGGGCCUGCACUGACGCUCAUGCACGAAAGCGUGGGGAGCAAACAGG
rnacentral:rRNA from 1 species